GUCGAACGCCCUUGAGCAAUCAAGGGAGUGGCGGACGGGUGAGUAACACGUGGGUACCUACCCCAAGGUGAGGAAUACCGGCGAGAAAUCGCCGACAAUACCGCAUAGGUUUCCUCGGAAACAAAGCUCGCAAGAGCGCCAAGGGAAGGGCCUGCGGCCGAUUAGCUGGUUGGUGAGGUAAAAGCUUACCAAGGCGACGAUCGGUAGCUGGUCUGAGAGGACGAUCAGCCACACUGGGAUUGAGAACGGCCCAGACUCCUACGGGGGGCAGCAGUGAGGAAUUUUCGUCAAUGGGGGCAACCCUGAACGAGCAACGCCGCGUGCAGGAAGAAGGUUUUCGGAUCGUAAACUGCUUUUCUCUGGGACGAGAACGGACGGUACCAGAGGAAUCAGCCCCGGCUAACUACGUGCCAGCAGCCGCGGUAAUACGUAGGGGGCAAGCGUUGUCCGGAUUUAUUGGGCGUAAAGCGCACGCAGGCGGUCUGCCAAGUUCGGAGUGACAGUUUCCGGCUCAACCGGAAAAGGUCUUCGAAAACUGGUGGACUUGAGAACUUGAGGGGGAGACGGAAUUCCGGGUGGAGCGGUGAAAUGCGUAGAGAUCCGGAGGAACACCGAAAGCGAAGGCAGUCUCCUGGCAAGUUUCUGACGCUCAGGUGCGAAAGCUAGGGGAGCGAACAGGAUUAGAUACCCUGGUAGUCCUAG
rnacentral:rRNA from 1 species